rnacentral:rRNA from 1 species
GAUGAACGCUGGCGGCGUGCCUAAUACAUGCAAGUCGAGCGAACAGACGAGGAGCUUGCUCCUCUGACGUUAGCGGCGGACGGGUGAGUAACACGUGGAUAACCUACCUAUAAGACUGGGAUAACUUCGGGAAACCGGAGCUAAUACCGGAUAAUAUAUUGAACCGCAUGGUUCAAUAGUGAAAGACGGUUUUGCUGUCACUUAUAGAUGGAUCCGCGCCGCAUUAGCUAGUUGGUAAGGUAACGGCUUACCAAGGCAACGAUGCGUAGCCGACCUGAGAGGGUGAUCGGCCACACUGGAACUGAGACACGGUCCAGACUCCUACGGGAGGCAGCGGUAGGGAAUCUUCCGCAAUGGGCGAAAGCCUGACGGAGCAACGCCGCGUGAGUGAUGAAGGUCUUCGGAUCGUAAAACUCUGUUAUUAGGGAAGAACAAAUGUGUAAGUAACUAUGCACGUCUUGUCGGUACCUAAUCAGAAAGCCACGGCUAACUACGUG